rnacentral:rRNA from 1 species
UACGUAGGGCGCAAGCGUUAUCCGGAAUUAUUGGGCGUAAAGAGCUCGUAGCGGUUUGUCGCGUCUGCCGUGAAAGUCCGGGGCUCAACUCCGGAUCUGCGGUGGGUACGGGCAGACUAGAGUGAUGUAGGGGAGACUGGAAUUCCUGGUGUAGCGGUGAAAUGCGCAGAUAUCAGGAGGAACACCGAUGGCGAAGGCAGGUCUCUGGGCCACUACUGACGCUGAGAAGCGAAAGCAUGGGGAGCGAACAGG